CAUUUUGCUUGAUGCAAUAAUGGGUUUCUGUUUUCUACUGUGUUUUAAUCUCUCAACACUUGUGGUGGGUCUAGACUGUAGAGAAAGAGUCUUCGUGUAGUAAAGAUUAAUGAGUUUUUUUUUCGAAGGACAAAAACAAGGGUAUGCCAAAGGAACUCUUGAAUUACAAAAAGAAAAGGAAGAAGGGACAGAGGAAGGAGGAGGAGAGAGAGUAGGAAUUAUAGAGAGAGCAUAGGUGGGCAUGAUUGAUGAUUGGUGAAGGUUAAAUACAUGUAUGAAUUGGUGGUUACUUGUAGGAGAGAGAGUUGGGUUUUGGGCAUUAUUUCAAUUUGAUUUGAUUUUGAUUAAUAUAUUUCGUGGAGACAGUAGAGUCUGAGAGAGAGACAGGGGAUUCCGAGAAGAGAGGAGGAAGUGUACAAUGGAUAUUCUUUUUCAGGUUGGGGUGAAAAUGGAAUAAUCGGAAGGAGUUCAAAGUAUAUGCUUGCUAUGCUACCACCAUUGCUGACUGAUUGAGGUGAGGUCCAAAUUCUAUCCUUACACGGUAGAGGGGAUAAUUUUCAAGAUUUUAGAAUUAUCUAUUAGAGGAGACUAUAAGCCACGUUUUACAUACUACUAUAAUUAAUUUAUUUUAUUAUGUUUUUUUUACUCUGAAUUUGUAGUUGAAUUAGGGUUUAAAUACGUUUGAUUCAACAAGCCCACCCACCUGUUUAAACCAUUUAUGUUUUUGUUUGUUUCUUGGUUACACUUCCCAACAUUUGGAAAUUUAAUUUUAUGGACUAAAGAGAUGUUGAAAUAUAUUACAUGCAAUUUGCAACCCAUUUAAGUCGAAAAAUAAAAUAUAUUUAACAUCAUAUAGGAGGCUCAACAAUCUCACAAAUAAUAAUAAUAGUAAUAAUAAAUAAAAAUUAUUAAUUUUAACAUUUUAUAUUGUCAUAUAAAAUGUAUUAAAGUAUAACUGUAUAUACACACAAAAAAAACAUCUAAAUAUAUUUUGACACUAAAAAUCAAUAAUUUUUUGAAUCAAAUAAUUUUUGACUUGCGUAUGUAAGAUCCAAACUUUUUAUAAAUAAAGAUUUAAUUUCUCUAAUUAUUAUUUUGAAAUAGUAAGGGUUGAUUUGAUUAAUGUAGUUAGUUAUGGAUAAAAUGCGCAAAUAUUUCAAAUAAGCAAGUAGUUAUAAAAUAUUCAUUGUUGUCGGGGAAUAUUCGUUUGGUCGUGGAAUAUUCGUACUGUCGGGGAAUAUUCGUACGACGGCGCAGCUAUGUGUGGGCCCCAUAACAGAAAGCGAUUGGAGGAAGAAAACGACAAAAAUAAGUUGUUGUUACCGUCAAUACUGUUGGAAUACCCGGUAGUUAAAACACAGUAAUACUCGUUGUUGCACAGUAACACACGGUAUUGCACCAAUUAUUGAUUCUUACGUAAGAAGGCACUACUCAAUAAUUGUUACAGUAGUUACUGUUCAGUAUUUUAUUUUAUUGAUUCAAUAAUUACUGCUUUGAUAUUUUAUAUUACUGUUGUUUCAAUAAUUGUCACUACACAGUAUUUUCCAUUAUCGGAGCAAUAAUUCUUAUUAUCUGAAUAAUAAUAUUAGAAAAUAUUAUUGGCAAUGUCUAGAAAGUUCUGUCUAAGAAGAGGUUUGGUCACCUAAUUGCGCGCCAGUAAGGAGAAAUCUUUAUUGGAAAGCCCCCUCUUUCUUUGGAACUGCCUGAUUGUUAAUAAUGUGAUUCUGUAAUAUUAUUUAUGAAUAAUUAAUUAUUGAUAUAUAUAAUGAGAAAAAUAUUGAUUUUAUGAGGAUAUAGAUGGAGGAAAAUUUUAAUGUGACAAUUGUUGAAAAUUAAUAUUUUAUCUUUUUCUUAUAAAAUAAUUCUUUUAAAUAUAUUAUUUUUACAAUGAAUGUGGGAUAUAUGAGUAUAUGAGGAGGAAGAGUAUUUUUGUUGCAUUAAAUGUUUAACACAUGUUUUGUGUGUUGGUGGACACAAUUAUUGACCGAAAUUUGAUUAUAGCCUGUAAAAUCGCCCGUUUGUGGAUUUCGGUCAAUUUCUGUUUGGAAUUUGGAAAAACUUUCUUCUGCAAAGUUGUAGAGAAUUGAAUUUCCUAUAAAAAGUCGCGAGAUUCGAAUUUUCUGAUAAAAGGGCUAUUUAUUAUGAAUUAUUGAAGUUCCGAAGUUCCGAAAUAAUUGAUUUUUGGAAGUUUAAAAUAUUUUUAAUUACAAAAACGUUUUUUUCAUUUUUGAAACUCAUUUAACAUGUGAUUAGGAGGCUGAAUUCAGAUUGUUAGUGUGCGUAUGAAGUUGUGGAAAAAUUAUAAUAUUAAUUUAUUAAAUUUUCUACUUUGGUGUUCUAAGCAUUUUCCUAUAAAUAGGGUGCUUAGGUUAGAAUUGAAAAUCACACCAGAAACUGAAGUUUUCUCUCUCUAUAUUAUCGAGCGUAUUCUUGUGAGUAUUUUGAGUAUACUUUGAGUAUUGCUAUACGGUGCAAGUUCAAGUCAUAGCCUAUAUCCGGUGUUUCAACUAGAAGUACUGUCUUUCGAGGUAAGGGAUGUUAUUUUAUUCGAAAAUGAUAUUAUUUCUUCAAUAUCAUUAUGCCGAAAUAUUGGUUGGAAAUUUUUAUCAAAUUUGGAACUUUUUCAUGUCGGGGUUACUAUUCAUGAGUUACUAUUCACGAGUUACUAUUCAUGAGUUACUAUUCACGAGUUACUAUUCACGAGUACUAUUCACGAAGCGUGAAGAUGUUUUUUGUGAAAUUUCUAUCUUUUGGUGUCGGAGUUACUAUUCACGUAUACGGCACUAUUCACGUAUACGGCACUAUUCACGAAUACGGCACUAUUCACCGAAAAAUGAAAUUUCUUCUUUUUGUCCAAAAUAUCUAUUAUGGAUACUAGCUUUGAUUGUAUCCAUGUUUUGAUCAUUCUUGAAUUUUACACCACUAUGAUUAUUUUUGAGGUAUUUUUGGACGUGGAUAAAACAAAGUACGAAUCCUUAAUCCUUAAUCCUUGUCAUUUUGUUUCACUGGAUUCGUUUCUUUAAAAAAAUUUUUCAUCAUCCUCAGUCUUAAAUGAUGAUAUUAUUGAAUAUCUUUGGCCUGUAGUGCAAAGAUGAAUGAUUUCUGAUGAAUAUCUUUGGCCCGUAGUGCAAAGAUGAACAGGUGUUUAGAUGAACAUGACCAACUGAUGAAUAUCUUUGGCCUGUAGUGCAAAGAUGAAUAUUUGAUUCCAGAUAUAUAUUGAUUGAUGUUACAGGGAUAAAAGAUAGACGAUGAACUUUUAAAUUCAUACAUAGAAGAUAGUAGUUUGCAUUCUCUACUUAACUCUUCUAAUGAAUUAUUAUUUCCGCUGCGAAUAUUGAUUUAAAACUUGUUGUCUAUUGUAUUCUAUUAGAUUUUUCCCUGUUGAAGACUAACGAUAAUUUGUUGUAUAUUAUCUUAGUCAUAAUAUUCUUUACUGGGCUAGUUGAGCUCACCCUUUUCCUUUUUGUUCCAUUUUUCUUCUCAGGAGGCGAGAAUAUAGCGAGUACGAGUCGGGGUAUGGAAUGAAGGUUCUAGAGAGAGUUGUUUAGUAGUCCUCACCAUUUUUGUAAAAUAAUGUAUCAAUAAAUGUGAUGAGGAUUUAUUUGAGUAUAGAUAUUGUCUAGAAGAUAAUAUUUGUAUUCAAACUCACAGUUUUACUGUUGUAAUAAUAAAGUUGUAGUUGUUUCUGUACCAUGUAUUGACAACUCAGAAUGGGUGAUGUAUACCUAUUUUGGGGGCGUCACAGUUGGUAUCAGAGCUUAGGGAUAUGAUCUCUGGCGGAGAUCGGGGAAUAGAACUAGGAGGGGAGAGACGAGUAAAUCCUUCGCUAGUGUGUCCUACCUAAGCUUAUUUGUUAGUUGGUCAGUAUAUAGGGAUAUUAUGUGAUAUAUUGAUUUCCUUAAUUAACCCUUGUUUUAUGACAGUAUUUGAGAAUGUCGACUGAGAAUAUUAACAGUGGAAAUGAGACCGUGGAGACGCCUGUACUCACCAACGAGGAGAACGUGCAACAGGCUGGCAAUGUUCCUCCUGUGAACAACACCACUGAGCAGAUGAUGAACGAGGGGAUGUUUAGAAGCUUUUUGCAGUUCAUGCAAAAUCAGACGAGGGAGACUCGUGUUCAAAAUACAGGAGGAAAUGAUAGCAAUUCACGGGUUGUCACAGCCAAGCAGUUCAAAGAGUUGGGACCACCAGAAUUUAAGGGAAAGCCAGAUCCGAUCAUGGCGGAAACAUGGGUCAAGCAAAUUACCAAGAUAUUCGAUGUCUUGGGAUGCACGGAGGAACAGAAGGUUCCAUUCGCCACCUUUAUGUUCCGUGGCGAGGCAGAUUACUGGUGGGAGUUUGUGAAACGGACCCAGCCUGCCACACUCCACAUGUCUUGGGAAACGUUUCAAAAACUUUUCAACGAAAAAUACUUUCCUGAAAGUAUUCGCCAUAUGAAAGAGGUAGAGUUUAUUAGACUAGAACAAAACAACAUGACGGUGUCCCAAUACGAGGCGAAGUUCGUAGAGUUAUCCAGGUUUGCACCUCAUUUGGUAGAGAAUGAGGAACGAAUGACGAGGAUGUUUAUGAGAGGUUUAAAACCCGAGAUUCGGCAAUAUCUUAUCUCUCAUAAAUUUUCUUUAUAUUCAGAUGUUGUAAACAGGGCUCAAUUAUUGGAGCGAGAUAACGAGUACGGUCAAUCGAGGGUCCACAACCAGGAUCAUACCGGGGAUAGCAGUCAACAAAACAACGAUAACCAACGGAGAAAGAAAAAGACAGACAAAAAUGGUAACCACUCUGGUGGUAAUCAUGGUCAUGAAAACAAAAGAAGCGAGUCAGGAGGAGAUUUUAAAAAGAGGAGAUUUAACAACAACCAUGUGAAGACGACAGUGCCGGCAGCAACUGGUUCUAAGGGAGGAGAACGACCACNNNNNNNNNNNNNNNNNNNNNNNNNNNNNNNNNNNNNNNNNNNNNNNNNNNNNNNNNNNNNNNNNNNNNNNNNNNNNNNNNNNNNNNNNNNNNNNNNNNNUUAAGAUGCCUACAUUAGCUAAAAACAUAAUACAUGCCAAUAUAUACGUUCUCCAUAUAUGGAAUCCAUCUCCAAAGACGUAGUCAAUGACUCUAUGAUGAUAAUAUAUUAUGGCGGCGGUAAAAACCACCAUACAUUUGAUAAAACAACAUAAAUCAACUUACAGUGACAAGAACAUGUUAAAAAUAACUUUUUUAAUUAUUGCUGGUAAAAAUUGGCAACGAUUUUAGAACAAUAACAUAAAACGAUACAGCUACUGAACUACAUCAUUUAGUACAGCAAUGCCGUGCCAUUGCUAAGAAAAGCACCAAACUAGUUUCAAAAAACUAGAGGGGGAUACACAGACAUUAUAAUUUACAAAGAAAUCCUCAAAAUUGCACCUAACUAAAAUUCCUACCAACUUAUUUAAUGGACAGCGUCUCAUCAAAGUAUCAAGGUCACAAAAAAGGUCAUUGUUUAACCUCAAAUUUGAAGUCAACUCCUCUAACACAAUAAAGCUUCAACCAACUCAAAAUCAAAACACAAGCUUCAUCAGCAACAAGAGCAAAUAGAAUUGAUUAUGAUGGAAUAAAAUGUACUAAAAUUAAUUUGUAACUAAUAAAAAAAAGCAGAUUUAGACACUCACGCAAAAGGAGAGGGCUCUACAAAGAGAGCUAUACGCCUAGGUCUUGAAGUGAUCUCUGAUUCAAGAAAAGGAGGAGGAUUUUCUUCUUCCUCCUCUUCCCUUAUCUCUGUAAUGGUCAUUUUGCUUGAUGCAAUAAUGGUUUUCUGUUUUCUACAGUGUUUUAAUCUCUCAACACUUGUGCUGGGUCUAGACUGUAGAGAAAGAGUCUUCGUAUAGUAAAGAUUAAUGGGUUUUUUUUUCGAAGGACAAAAACAAGGGUAUGCCAAAGGAACUCUUGAAUUACAAAAAGGAAAGGAAGAAGGGACAGAGGAAGGAGGAGGAGGAGAGAGAGUAGGAUUUAUAGAGAGAGCAUAGGUGGGCAUGAUUGAUGAUUGGUGAAUGCUAAAUACAUGUAUGAAUUGGUGGUUACUUGUAGGAGAGAGAGUUGGGUUUUGGGCAUUAUUUCAAUUUGAUUUGAUUAAUAUAUUUCGUGGAGACAGCAGAGUUUGAGAGAGAGACAGGGGAUUCCGAGAAGAGAGGAGGAAUGGAUAUUCUUUUUCAGGUUGGGGUGAAAAUGGAAUAAUCGGAAGGAGUUCAAAGUAUAUGCUGCUACCACCAUUGCUGACUGAUUGAGGUGAGGCCCAAAUUCUAUCCUUACACGGUAGAGGGGAUAAUUUUCAAGAUUUUAGAAUUAUCUAUUAG
rnacentral:lncRNA from 1 species